rnacentral:rRNA from 1 species
ACGCUCGACACUACGGGAGGUAGCAGUUAGGAAUAUUGGGCAAUGGAGGAAACUCUGACCCAGCAACGCCGCGUGAAGGAAGAAGGUUUUCGGAUUGUAAACUUCUGAUCUAGGGGAAGAAGGAAGUGACGGUACCCUAGGAGAAAGCCACGGCUAACUACGUGUCAGCAGCCGCGGUAAUCUGAGCGGGCUGGCAAGGC